UAAACAAUACAUAUCACCCCCCUACAAAUGGAAACUUCUGAGCCAAGACCCCCUUUCUCAGUCUCAACCUGGGCAGCAGUCGCUUACGGCAGGUCUACACUUAACAUGCUGCAUCGGCGCAGCUGCACUAAUGAGCUCUGUGGCACCAAGGCCUCCAGUUUGGGGGCAGGGAAAAGGUAGGAGAGCAGAGUUAGGGAGUUGGAGUAUUUAUUUUUAUUAUUUAUAGCACAGUAGCACGUAGUGACCUCAGUUGAGGGUACGGCUCCAUUGUGCUCAGCACAGCAUAGACACAGAAUGAGAGGCAGCCUUUGCUUCAAAGAGGUUUUUUUUUAGUCUCUUUCUCCUUUAGGAGGGAUAGGGGGACAUAAACAAAAUAUUGGACUAACCGUGGCCUUCCACUCAUCCCUGACCCUUCCAGGUUUUGAAAAAUUAGGUGCGUGACACUAGCUGUGCCGGUGAGGGGAAAAUGCUGCAGUGUCUUUAUAGUUACUUACAGUAGACGGUAUGUAGGGCAUCUGCACCCCCAGCCAAUGAUCUUUUGUCUAAGAACAUAAUAUUCCAGUUAUCCCCUGAAUAAGUAUAAUAACUCCCCCUUGGAGCCCAAACACCCUCCUUCCCUCAGUUAGAUUCAACUUUUAUCGUUAGAAGAGCCUUUAUUGAGCUCCAAAUGCAGUUGAGUGGCUUUCUAAUGUCCGUUGCUACAAAAGCCAUGCUUUGUCACGGGCUAAUAAUGUUUGGGCCGUGAAAACAGUCAGUCCUCUGGCUUUGUCUCCUAUCUGUUUUUGGGACUCAGAAUUGCCAUUAUCUUGGAACCAAGAACUCUGAGCUUCAGCCUGGGUCUCAUACACAAUACCAUAGUGUUGACACCAUGUCACCAGGCAGGAGAAUUACAUUGUGUCUCAGUUUCAGCUCUGCCCUUGACUUGCUUAUACUGUAUAUUGAAAUCCUCCCGAGCAGUAAGUUUUCCCCUGCCCCUUGCCCAGUUUCAGCCCCUUGCAUACCAUAAUGAGAUUUUUCCUCAGGCCAAAAUCCAAGAUACCUUUGAGGAACCUUGACACUCAGAUAGGAAAUCAUGCUCAUGUUUAGCAAAAUCUACUACUCAAAUAGGGUUAUCUGUACAUGUCUGAUAUUAUUUGAGGUAUAGUCAGCUGAACAUGUAACAGUAGUGAAGGAGAAUAUAAUAAUAAGGUGAUACUGAAAAAUACAUCUUGUGAGUAAAUGAGAACUGCUAUUCUGCUGGACUGUCUUUGUGCACCUUGAAAUGACGCAAAAGGGAAACUAGUUAGUCACUUUUUUCAGUUCAGACUUUUGCAUUCAGACACAAAUCCUAUUAAGAAACUAACUUAAAAAUGGAUCUCGGGCCUGCAGAACAAUAUAUAUUUUUAGAUUCGUAGAACAAGACUUUUGAGGUUGUUUUACAGUUGGUCUUUGCAGCCAGGCUAGCUUUACUUGUUCCUGAAAGAAUGGCUGGCAUCUGAUCAUGAAGUGCAUUAACAUUUCCUGCUUAAAUCGAGUAGGAAUCAAAGCCCCCUCUUUGGAAGCCAAGGUGAUUUUUAAAAAAAAGCAUCUUCAAGUUACUGAAUCUCGCUCUUGGCAAACCAUGAUGCCUUUUAACAUUGUUCUGUGGCUGAACAUUACCUUUUCUCACUUGAAACUGCAGACUUUCUGUCUGCUUCUCCUUGCAUAAUGAUUAGUUUUUGAGUGCUUAAACAUACAGACUCUUGUCCAUCAGACCUGUCAUAUUUAGUCUGGUCUCUAACUCUUGUGUCUUGCCUUGUUUUAUCUUGUAGGAUCCACCCUGAAAUGAUUAGGUGCAGGCAAAGAUCACAGCAGUAGUAACUACACAAUUUUUGCUUCUCAGCAUUUCCUUCAUAGCAUGGGACGUUUUUUUACUUUUGACUAAUAUUGAGUUGUUUACUGAAGAGCAGCUGUUGCAGCUCUGCUGACAUUAAACUAGGCUGCAUAUGAAUUGUGAGCAGGUAUCUCUUCAGUAACAAUGCACAUCCUUGGUGCUUUGGGGAGCAUUCAGGCUGCAAGAUAACCGUGGUGUGUAUCUAAUCUUAUCUGGCCAGCUUUUAUAAAACUGCUGUUUUGCUGUUGGCUGAACUUAUAGCUUAACUCUACCUCAUUCCUGUUGAGGUGCAUGAAAUAUUGAACACUAUUUAAAGAGCUCGAUCAUCAAAAUACAUAUCUUAUCACUGGUCCUUUUCACCAAGAAUGUGGCAGGACUCACACAGAAACCAUAGUACAGACUGAAUGCAUGAUCACUUAAAAGAGGGGGAUGCAGGUCUCUUGUGUGACGAGAGGAAUAUUAGUAAGUUUACACACAAUACACUUUACUGACUAGAAAAUCCAUGUUACCAACGAAAAGACUACUGUUUGGUGUUUGUAAGUGAAAUCAUUGCACUCCAAUUCUCUGUGGAAGAAAUGAGCUCGACUUAAAAUUAUAUUUUAAAUAGUUUCAAAUCCAUUUGUUAAAGCUAUUUCACUUUCUUAAUGCUUUCCAUUGAGAUUGACAUCUGUACCUUCACUUGCUUUUCAGUGCCAAUUUUGACAUAAUACUAAACUGCCCGGAAGUGGCAUUUCAGCACAUAUAUGGGACAAAUAUUUCCAUAGUUAUGUGUAAGAUCCUACCAAAUUCAUUGUCCAUGGGUAGAGCGCAUGCUGAGGGGUUGCAAAGGUGCCCCUCCCCUUCAAAGUUUCUAGCCACCUAUUGGCUAUCUUGGGGAGGAAGGGAGCUGAUUGGUCCUUCACCUGCCAUGUGUAGCUUCUGUUUGCUCUGUACAUUCCAGCAACCCCACCCUCCCCACCCUAUAGUGGUAGCCUGAGAGCUGUUCUUUGCAGUUGCUGGAGGUCUACCCUAUUGCUUGUUUUGCGGUUGGAAAGGAAUUUUUCUUCCCAUUUCCAAAUUGGCAGAGGCCUAGGGAGUUCUUCACCUUCCUCAGAGCAUCCUGGAGGCACAGUUAAUUCUCUAAGACCAGAAGUGGGGAAAGUACAUUGUUCCAGUGUCUUGUUCUUUGUCCACUGCAUUUAACUCCUCGAGUUUCACCAUCCGUACCAGGCACAGGGAAUAAGCAAUUCCCUGCACCGCAGUUCUCUCAAGUAGCUGUGGGAGUAACCAGCAUCCUCCACACCAAGGAUGAGUGUAUGUCAUAUCACUGACACACGCUUCCAGCGGUGACUCAGCUUUCCAGUGAGCGUGGCAACAAAUCACUUCACAGUAGCCUAGCUAGGACCGUUUACACGUACUCCAGCACACUCAGCAGAAGAAAUUUCCUGGGAAAGGUGGUAAAUUUGCUGUGGCAUGAGUUGGAAUCUGGGGAAGAAUGUGAAGAUACAGCCAUGGAAAGCUCAGCCACUGACUGGAAAGAUAUGAAGAGGAAGCAUGCCUAGGAGCUCUGAUCCUGUAUAAAGUGCAUCGAUCUGGAAUUGUGGAGAGGAGAGAUGACAAAAGAGCGGAGUCUGGACAGUUGGAAAAAGGAUUUUGAAUUUAGCCUGGUCUACACUAGAAAAUCAGGUUGGUCUAACUAGUUUGGUCAGGGGUGUGAAAAAUCCACACCUCUGAGUGGUGUAGUUAAGCCACUUUAAGCCCCCGGGUAGACAGCUCUCGGUUGACCCAAAGAAUUCUUCUGUUGACCAUGCUACCACCUUUUGGGGAGCUGUGUUAUUUACACCAAGAGAAUCCCUUCUGUCAUUCUUAGGGAUUGUCUACACUUAAAACGCCACAGUAGCACAGCUGUCACUGUAGCAUUUUAAGUGUAGGCAUGCCCUUUUUAAAAUUACUCUGAGAAAUGGCAUACAUCUGCAUGUUAAGUUUUGUGCCACAGCGAGAGAGGGGGAACUGUACUCUUUUCAAGUGGAAGUGUGAUUAGCAUAGCUGCUGCCGCUGGCAUUCCCAGGGUUGUAACUGUGGCAAAUCCUUAGCUUUCUGCUGUUCUGCUGAUGCCUGCUUUAACUGGCUUUCAAUAUUCAGCAUCCUUACCUGGUUUGACUAAUACAGAGAUUUUACCUUUUUAUCAUUGUCCAGCAUGUAAAGGGAAUUUGGGCCAUAUAUAUUAUUGCCCUGCGGCUGUAGAAAUUGGGUGGGGUUCUAGGUUGAAUUUUCAAUGGGACUUCUGUGCUCCUAAAAAUCAAUUAGCUUCUCUUGAAAAUCACGCCCCUAAUGUCACUGCUGAACAGCCCGUGUUUGGGGCACUGUUAGGUGAUGAUUUUGGAAGCUGAGGUGCCUCCUUCCACACACUUAGGCCCUGGGUCAUUUUCAUUAAUCUGGCCUUGAAGAGAUUGUGAUACAUGAUUAUCUGCCAAAUAAAUAAUGUUGUGAGCUGGGUUAAACCUUGUUAUACGUUGAGUUAAAACUGAUGUGUGAACAUGUUCUUCAGUUCGGAUAGUUGUGAGACAAUUAAGAGGCCACACCGAAAACAAGGCCUACUAAUCUGCCCAGAAACUAGAACCAUGAAGGCAGAGGAUUUGACUGCCCAUGUAGGCUUGUGUGUGAAAAAAGUCAAGUGGGAUAAAAGACACAGAAGGUCAGAGAGUCAGAGGCAAAAAGCUAAAAGCCGAGCAAUAGCCUAUGAGCACAGAGUAUGGGCUUGUCUACACGUACAGCGCUGCAGUGGCGCCACUGCAAUAGUGAAGACGCUACUACGCCACGGGAGAGCUUCUUCCAUCUGUGUAGUUAGUCCAUCUCCGUGAGAGGUGGUAGCUACAUUGACAGGGGAAGCUCUCCCAUGGACGUAGUACUGUCUACACCAGGGUUUUAGUCGGGAUAGUUAUGUUACUCGAGGUGUGGAUUUUUCACACCCCUGAGCAAUGUAGUUCUACCAAUGUAAGUUUGUAGUGUAGACCUGGCCUAUGGAUCUCUGGAAAAAGUGUGUGUUUGUGUGUGAGAGAGAGAGAGAGAGCUUUUGGGUCUUAUAUUGGCUAAAAAAGCUUGGAGCUGUAAGCUAAGCAACUAUUCCUUUGUUUCUGGUUCCUCCUGCAUUCAGAGAAGCAGGACCUUUUAUAUUCCUUGCAAAUAAACAAGAUUGCAUUGAAGAAAAUACCAGACUCUAUCAUCAAUUUCUGCUCCCAACUGGAACCUCCCUGAGGCCCCAAACUUUGACUAGCCACUCGGGUCAAAAAGGGGCGACAGUAAGGGGGCUGAGAGUCCUGACAACUGAGUGGCCUUGUAAACAGAUUAAGCCAUUAAAUAUCAUAGGCCUUGGACACUAAUGGGAAGACUCUCUGCUUAUUAGUACUGGGUUGUCACUUUUUGGGGGGAAUGAAUUGAUAGUUGCCUGCUUCUCUUUUUAAUCUCCCUAGCUACAUUUGAACACAAUGAAGUGAUCUGUGAAGCCCUAUUAAAUGCUUGCUGUGACUGCUCUCCAGGGAUUCUUGGUGCUUAUGGGCCAUGAAUUAAAAAAUAAACUACUUCUGCCUCUUUCCUUCCCCGCUCAUAGGUGAAGAGCUGCAUGUCUGCUGGGAGCAUCAGUUUAUUCUGCAAAAUGUAACCGUUUCUCUUUGACAACCAGAAUGAUCAGUUUCCUCCACUUGGACAGGAACUGGGCUGCCAACACCAGCUGCAGAUCUGACUACAGCAGAGUGUGUGGGGUGGCUUACCUUUAGAGGUCACCAGCCAUUGUUUUCUCCAUUUGGUUCUGAACCGUUCAUUGAAGCCAAUUUCCACAUACCCAUUUUAGGCACCUCUGUGCCAAUUUGAGCACCUAUAUUUAGUGCCCAAAUUUAAAAAAAAGUCUCCAUGUGCACUGGAUGUGUGUGCCACUGCACAGCCAGAAAGUCUGAAUAUUAAUUUAACUUAACUUGGUGAGCCACAUUUUUCUACUUUCCCAGCUAAGAUAUGUUCCUGAGUGACCUCCAGCCAGAACAGGUUCUCAGCUGAUAAGAAAAAGUUAUAAAACUGGCAUCCCCAAAUGAGUUAUCAGGUAGCAACACUGAGCCAUAACACAGUUAACAAACACCAUCCAUUUCAUGGCUUGGAUUGUAAGUUCACCAUUUAACAGUAAUAAUUUCAAAUUCAAUGACUGCAUGGAAGCAGAAUUGCUUGGGGCUCAAGAUUUGAGUCUCAUCAAUUAGCAUAAGGCCAGCAGGUGAAGCCAAAUGAUCUGAUUGGCUCAUAAGAAUUCUCUGUUGGCUGUGAUACAGUACAGUUAGGCCUGAAAAUCCCUGAGUAAUUUGUAAUAGAUAUGUGUAAAAUCACAAUAAGGCAUUCUAAUGUGAGAACUAUAUUGUAUUUGCAUCUAAUUUUGGUGGGGUAGCACUCUGCCAACACUCUAAGUAGGAAUUAAUAAAAUACAAUUCAUGCCCUAUCAUGUCAUAUUGCUGGUCUUUCUGAGUGAGAUUUUUUAUCACUUUGCUCAUAAAUCUAGUCCCUCUAGACAGGAAAAUUAUUAUGAAGCAGAAUAAUAAUAGCUUACAUUUCAGAGGACUGCCCAUCUUUUCCUCCACAUUAAGCAGAUCAAGCUGGGACUAUUCUCCUCUAUUCUGGUGUUAAAAUGUUUUAUGUUUGGCAGUGACAAAUGAAAUCAACACUUCUAUUCAAUUAUUUAGUUUCCCAAAGCAAUGUUGUACUUGUAUCCAUCUUCUAAGAACUAUUAGUACUAUGCAUAAAGGGCUGAACUCCAAUAGUAAGGACAAAUCUUUAUACCUACAUUGAGCAGGUUUCAUUUUACAAAUACCUAAAUGUCAAAUUCAGUCAUUCCACAUAGCUAAAAGAAAGAGUCUAUGGGCCUGAUCCAAAGCCCGCUGCAACCAGUGUGGGGUCUUUCCAUUAACUAUGUCUGGCUUUGGUUCCAGCCCCAUGUCCACUGUAAGACUUCUUUAGGAGUAUAUCCCCUCUACGCUCCAGACCAACAGGUUUGAAAUUGAUGGGAGCUAGUCACCUAAAUAUUUUUGAGGAUCUGGGCCUACAUACUUACCAUAUGUUGGUAUGUGUCCCCCAAGUUCCUAUCUACCCGCAUUUCCAUUGGUGCUGAUAAUGCAUACUUUAAAGUAUUAGAGAAUUCUAUAGCCCACACUGAAUAUACAAACAGCAAGGUAAAGGUACCAGAUAGCACAUUCCUACUAAGGGUGGUGGUCGGGUUAGUUUUAUAAACCAAGUCUGUAUUUAAAUAAAAAUAUAGAAAACUUUAAAGUACGAAUAACCAAUUAUUUAAAAAAAAAUAGUAUACAUGGGUUUCUAGGUCAAGAUUUCAAAAACAGCAUCUCUGAAUUUAUACCCUCAAUGCUGCAAUGUCCAGGUUUUGUAAUCUUUUUGGCAUGGGUAAUUCUGCCUACACAAAGUAAAAGGCUGAGAUAUGGCCACUUUGGAAAAUUGGCCCAGAAGCUAAUUUUAAAAAAAAAUUCCACUAGAAGUGGACUUCAAGCAUAAUAGCAUGUUAUAGUUGGGCUUUGCUCAUAGUUCUUAAUACCUAAUUAAAUAAAAGGGCAAUUAAUUCAAAGAAGCAAAGCAAUAGAUUCAUCUUGUACUUCCCAUGUUUAGCUGGAUUUCCACUUCCCCUCAUGAUUAAAUUAAACGUCUUAUUUGACUGUCUGAUACUUAUGAAUUUAUAGAUGGCAGAAAUUAUGAUACGGUGGUAUGUACAGUAUUUUAAGUAUCAGCUAGAGAAUUGCUUCUCUCCCUCUCUCACGCCACCCGCUUGCCUCUGUUAUAUAAACAUUUUUAAAAAGUGUUUAAUCUAAUUGUUAAAGAAUAGCAUAUGUGAAGAGUAGUAAUCUAGCAAUGUGAAACAUAUCAUGAGUCCAGGGGAAUAAAAUAUAAGUAGCCUAUUUUCUUUCAACACAAGAGAGGAAAAGCACUUGGAUUGAAAAAAGAAAUUAAAUCUACUGUACAUGAUUCUGUCUUAGUGUUCAUACUCAGAAACUGCAUAUCCAAUUGCAUUUAUAUCUCUCUGAGGGCUGCAAUCCAAAAUAGAAACAGCAUAGACUCAAAAAGCAGUGUUUCCAGCUUGAUUAGUCAGAAUCCAUGGAUAUAAUUUAAGUAACAGCAUUGUCUGCAAAUUCAUAUGCUGUUUCCUACCUGUGGCUCACAUCUACCUAUCGCAAAAAGGAGCUGUUUGUUAAAUUGCAUUGCACUGUGCUGUGCUUCACUGGAUCAAGUGAUGUGACUUAGUGCAAAAUAAAGUACACUGUACACCACGUAUCCUUAUUCUACGGGGCAGAUAUAAUUACAGAGAUUAUACUAUAACCACAUGGUAAAUACCUCGUAAAUACAUAGUAACUGCAUGUUUCUGCAGCUUACUUGUUAAUUAUGCAUUGUUACCAAGUAGUUCAAAGAUAAAUUACCAUGGAACUUGCAGCUUUUAGCUGUUUGAGGGAUCCUAACUUUAGAAACCUGUAUAAUAAAGUAGUUCAUACAGCUGCAUUGUUUUUUAUCCAUUGUCCAUUGGAAUGGGGAAGGGACAUAGUCCACUUAUUUCCCCCCAAACCACCAGAGAUUCAGUGCAGCUACCUUAUUGGGUAUCUCUAGUCAUGUCUUUGUGGUAUGCUUGAGAUGCAAAGCUACUUGAAAUUUCUACGUGGAGGUCUGGAGAAGUUCAGCAAACUCCUUCUAACAAAUGUACCUAUCUCAGUUUGAAAACUCUAUUAGUCAUCUUAUGAAAAUAUCAUCUUGGAAAUCAUUCACACCUAUGCAAUGAAACUACCUUUUUCUGACACAAGAUUCAAUUAUGCAGGCUAACAGGAAGAAAUCAUGGUCCCAUUGACUUCAACGACGCUAGCAUUUCACCCAUGAAGUUGACUAUCAAGCAGUUCUUUAAACCGCCUAUAUUCAUUUACACAGAAAUAGACAAAGAGAUAUAAGAACAUCAGGUAGCCCACCUCAACUCUACUCUGUGGCCAGAGUUACACUUAUUCCUCCAUUUGUAGACUAUACUUUAUAAUUUAAUGUUUUAAUGGUAUUUGUUUAACCUAGAGAAAUUUGCUCUCCCCAAGGUGAAUCUUUCUUCUGAGCUAUGAUUUUGUAAUGGUUUGGUUGGCUGGCUUGUCCUCUGGUAUAAGGGUAAUGCUUGAACUCCAUGACUGUUUCUCUUUUCCUAUUUCAUUACAUUCAUGUGUCCAUGUUGAACCUGCAAAGGGCUGUUGAUGGGUAAAACUGCUGCUUCAAAUUUGAGAGAUUAUUCAGAAUUAAUCUCCUCCUUGGCAACAGAUACUAAAGUUUUGGGUUAUUUAUGCCACAGAAUUUAAGCUUUAAACCAUCCACCAGCUGAUUUAACAGUAACAGACUUUUUAAAGACCUAUUUUAUAUUAACCUAUUGCAAGGAAGAAAUUUCCUUUUCACUGAAAAUUUUAGUGUCUCAAUAUAUUAAGUUUUCAAUACUGAUAGGAAUGGUAGGCUGCUUACAGCUUGAGGUUUUAAAUAACAUUUCUUCUCAUUUAUUAUUUGUUUCAUCAUAGUGCCUAGGAGCAAUAGUCACGGAUGAGGACUCCAUUAUGCUACAUGCUGUACAAAGACAGAUCAAAGAGAUGCUCCUCAUCAAUUAUUGGGAAUGGACCACAUCCACCUUGACUGAAUUGGCCUUGUCAGUGCUGGUUCUCCACUUGUAAGAUCUAAUACUAAGCUGGGUAGUAUCAAGAGGUUGGAAGUGCACAGACUACGAGUCAUCUUUGAAUUUGUCUUUCCUGGAACAUAGUUUUGUUGUUCAUAUGGGUUGCUUGUUCGUGAUUUAAUGAACCAAGUAUGCUCCACCCUCAUUAUAAUGCUUGUAGUAACUGCUCUCUGAUAAGAUUACUGUACUCUGGCUAUAAUCUCCAUUAAACUGUAUUCCAGUUACCCUCACUGUAAUAUUAUUACCACUUUAGAACACUCAGAUGUUUGGCUCUCCUAGAAUCUCUUGCUGUCUAUCUUUUGUUCUAUUUCUUUAGAGAUACUGCUGUCUCUGGUUACCAUUCUAUAGUGUCUUGGUGCAGCUGUCUGCUAUUUUCAUUCCAAAUAUGCAGUGCAAACCUCUAGAGUUGCCUGAUCAUGUCUAUUCUGAUCCCCUGUCUUCAGGUGCUCAGACUUUCUGAAACAUUAACCAUUUCAGGCAGAGUGGUGGUGGUGUUUUUUGUUUUUGUUUUUUUUUAAAAGUGCUCACUCUCUGAAGAUUCGUAUUUGUGUAACAGCUGCCCCAACCAGUUCGGCCCCAUUUGUGCUAGGAGAUGUACACACAGCGUACUAAGACAGUACCCACCCUAAAGAAUUUACAGUCUAACUAGACAAGGCUGGGGAACUGAGGCACAGGCAGAUUGAGUGACAUGUCACUCAUAUGAAACACGAAUUCUGUGAACGAAGUGAAUCCAGAAUCAUCUGAGCCCCAGUCCUGCACUUUAAGCACAGAGCCAGCCUUCCUUUCAGAUAACUUUAAGCCAUGUAUUUUCAGCCUUUUUGGGGAGUGAGGGAACUUGGAAAAAUACUUUCCUUAUUCAUGUACAUGUGCACAUGAGUACAAGUAUUUAGAAUGUUGUUAGCAGAUCUUUCAGCUAAGUGACUAGAUGUAGAAAGUUGGACUAUUGGAGAAGAACCUUUUGAAUGCUCUAGUGAAAACUGGAUUUGAUUUGACUGAAUCAUGACCCACUGAAAAUAACAUUUUAUGUAUGCUCAGUAAAUGUUGAAUGGCAAUGCCCAGCUCUUGAAGUGCCCAGCAUGGUGCAUGGCUAACUUUGCUGUUUAUUGAAUGAUCUACUAAAGGUAUGCACUGAGAAACCCUUCUCACAGUGCAUGUUAAGGCAUGAUUUUGAGUGGUGCACAUUUGAGGAGCUCUUCUGAUUUCAAAGAAUGCUUUACUUCACCUACAGCCUAUUAAUAUCUCAAAUACAAUGUGCAACCAGCUAAAACUAUUGCAAGAACAAUCAACUAUCAAUAGGUCGUCAUGCUUCAAUUUUUCACAUUGUGUCAAUAUCCAUGAAGCCUCAUCUCAAUGACUCAGAUUAGCGCUAAUGACAGGAUCAAAGAUGAGCCCAAAAGUACGUCAAACAUAAUUAAAUUAAAACUUCAGUCACUAUCUGGAGGGCGGGAGAAAUUUCUUCAGUUUUCCGUGGGUUCUUCUGGAUAACAAAACAAAUCUUAAACAGGGCAUGCUACUGUAAUGGGCUACACAUUGACUGAUAUUGCUUUCCUCGACUGAUAUUCAAACAGAAAGCAUAAUGUUUUGGGUGAUGUCCCUUUAACAGGAGCUAGGACAGAAUGUUGGAACCCAAUGUUCUGUGGCAGAUGGAGUGACAUUUGCAAUUGGGAAGAAACAAGGAUAGGCUGCCAAAAUGUUAACCAGAGGCUCCCUCAAAAAUGUUCUGCCUCAGUCAAAGAUACAUGUGAAUUCCUCAAGUAAAAUACUAUUCCCUCCAAAAGAAACGCCAUCAUUCCAAUACUCUUUCCCUCCACAAAAAAUAAAUCAAAUAAAAUCCAUUAAUUCUACAGUAUCCUCUCCAUCCAACCCCUGUCCCCAAUUAAUAAAUUAAUUUGCCCAAAAUCCAUCCACCCAACCCCUUUCACCCAGCAUGUCUCCAACACCACAGUAACUCAUGGAGGCUUCUCUGAGUGGCUCUCCUGCUUGGCAGGUGUUUCUCACAUUAGUGGAGGUGGCGAUAAGGGUCAGGCUGUCUGUCUGGCAAUCUUUGAAGUUGGGGUGGUUGGUCAGGUGGCAGACUUCUGGCUGUGGACUUAAGUCAAAUGGGGAAUGGACUCCCUUUGGUUCUUGAAGUGGGUAGGUCUCCCUUGACCAUUCCUAAGAAUGCCCCCUUGUCCUUGUAUUGCAAGAAGGGUGUCUACAAAUUCCUGAUCUACGGUCUCUAUCCCAUUUAUUUUGUAUGCUUUUAUCUGGUCCCCUCUUAUGUGUUUCCUCUCUAAGGUAAACAGACCCCAUCUUUUCAAACUCAGAACAUUGCUUUAGAGCAGGUCAGUGAACUUUCCUCUCAUGUGUAGGUCGUGCCAGAUUUCACGUGCACAAUGUUCUGCUAGUGAUUAAGAUGCCUGAUCCCUGUCUUUUUGCUACAGCUUUCCCUGAUGCAGCUUGAGACCGCUAGUGGAGCUGCAUCCAUGGCGAGUUAUCUGUUUUUCCUACUGAGGACAGGGUCUUGGAUAUCAGAAGAACCUUCUGCUGGCAUUUCCUCUGUGGUGAUAGGACAAAGGCAGGCUGAUCCUGCUUACACAUCACGGGCAAAGAUAAGAGUUCUUUCUGGUUAUAACAAAUCUCCACUUACUAUGGAAGGGUUUUGGAGGACAGUGAGGGAUGGCCAGCAUAAGCAAUUUUAUCUUUGAACGGAAAUUAAACUUUUCAAGGCAGUAGUGAAGGAGGCUGACUAAUCUUAUGUUUAUUUAAGAUAAGAUUAUAAUAGAGGAGUCUCAUCUACUUUAAAAUAGAUUAGAGAAACUCAACCUUACUCCAUAACAGAUUGCGUUGUUGAGGUAAUCAUUAUAACUAAUGCCAGAGGACAUGGAAAAUGCUCUCUCUGUGGGGUGACCCUGAUAUUGACACUAGCUGCUGGUUCUCCAGCAAAUAAAUACUCAAGCACUGGUGUGCCAAAUAAAGAACUAGGUGGCAUGAAGGAUGCUUUGAACCAUUAGAUGAGCACCCUUAUAUCAGUUGAACUAGGGCAGGGAGAUAUGAGGAAAGUCCACAUCACAUCCAAGUGUGUUUAUGGUAAUCCUAGUUCUUAGGUGAGUGGUGCUUCUUAUGCUUCUGUAUUUUCAUUUUCCAUCUUCAGACCUAUCUCUAGGCAGUGAUUUUUAUGGUAAGAAGUUUGGGUACAUGACACCGGCUCCAAAUUUUUUUCCAGGUAUCCUCUUAGGUGACUUGAUUACCACUUUUAUCCAAGUACCAUAUCAUAAUAUCCUCCAAUCUAUAUUAGUAUAUUCCAGCACAGCCAGAACAAUGUAAAUCUCACAUGAUCCAGCUUUAUUUGAAACUGUCAGCCUUGCAAAAUUCCCUUUGCCUGCUUGAACAGACAAGGAUAUUUUAACUUGCUUUUCUUUGAUGGGAGUAAAGUACCUUUAUUUUUUUAAUGACAAGCAUCAUUAAGGUUAUGAUGAUCAUCUCAUCUAACAAUCAAAAAUCACUCCAUAUGUAAAAAGUCCUGUAAAUGCAGGCACAGGAAAGACUUCUUUUCUACAUGGCUGUGUUGCAAGACUCAUUUUUGCUCUAGAUUUCAGCAGUCAGCAAAACUGCUUAUUUGGUGUUAAAUGCUACAAUGAAAAACAGUUGAUGGUAUUGUGUCUUUGAGAGCUAAGAUAUAUUAGAGUCAAUAGAGCAUGUCUCAACUAGCAACACUUCAAACAAGUCCUGUGCUUCUAGCUGCAUCAUAAAAUCUGAUUUAAAAGAUGCAAAACAAACAAACAAAAUUGUGUAAACUUUGUUACUCAAUCUUCUUCCAUAUAACAGUUUUUAUUGUAAUAAUUACUAUUGGGUUAAUUGUGGACCUAUCAGAUUUGCUUGGAUAUUUUUAUCUACCCUUUUCUUUAUAAUGUAAAAAGUUUCUUUGGUACACUAUACAAACCAAAGUUAAAUGAAAGGGGAAAAAAGUAUAAAACAAUAUAUAGUUAUGACAAUAGUACAAUAGUCUUUUCCCUCUGAUCUGUUGAUGGAAGUAAAAUCUUUCCAUUGCUUUAUUGAGUUAAGGAUGGUCAAUGCUGUAAACGGGGUACUGGUUCUGUUUUCUCCUCUCCGUAACUUACAUUUCGUGCCCAUAAACAUAAAUCAUGAAAUAGGAUGAUUAGAACCACUAAAAUGAUUUGCCUCUGAGAAUUUAGGCUCAGCCCUCUAAUUUUGAUGUGUGUGUUUACAAACUUAGAACACUUAACACUAUACAAGUGUGACAUGUAUUACAUUUGAAUUAAAUAUCCCUAAAAUAUAUUACAUGUCAGAAAGCCAUUGAAAAUAUGGAAAACGGUCAAAGACCGGGGUGAAAUCCAGCCCCAUUGACUUAAGUGGGGACAGGAUUUCACUCCAUAACUUUUUCCAUGAUGAGAAACCCUUCUCGUACCCAAGUAUUAGGCGUUGUGUACACUAGCACUUUUGUCAGCAAACCUUUUGGUCAGGGGUGUGGUUUUUAAUCACACCCCGACUGACAUAAGUUUCACCGACAAAAGCACCAGUGUGGCCAGUACUAAGUUGGCAGGAGAGCGUCUCCCACCAACAUAGCUUCCACUGCUCAUUGGGGGUGGUUUAAUUAUGCCGGUGGGAGAGUUUACAGUAGUGCAGCUAUACCACUAUAAGGUCGGUAGUGUAUACCUAGCCUUAGUCAUUAGUGUUCAUGCAAUAUUCCUGAAGUGCAGUGUCCCAAGAAACUUGGCUUUAAUCAGGUUUCACAGUGACAAUUCUUAUUUCUGCUACUGUAUAAGCAAAAACGAGCACUCUUUUCAAAGGACAGUCUGCCAGUUUUUAAUCAUAGGCUAAUGUUAGUAAUAAUUGGAACACAGAGAGGAAAUGAGAUAGGCAAUGAAUUACUGAAAAUAGAGGUGAUUCUUUAACUUGUGCAUAUAAGGUAGUGAAGUGCUCGAAUCAGUUGCUGCAUUCCACCCCAGAAUGAGCUGUACAGCAGUGCUGGGUGAAAUAUGUAUCCUUUAUAAAGCAGUUCAGGAUCCUUCUGAAUCUAUUGAGUCCUAAAUCACAGACAAAUAGGACAUUAAAGAAACAUAUUAAGAAAUGUCAAUGUAAUCAUCUUAAGAUCAAUAGUACAAAAUAAACAGAACAUAGGAAAUCAUAUUUUCCAUCAGUAGCAAGACAUUGUUUAAAUGAGCGGUACUUAAGCCAUUUCUAGCUCUCAUCCUCCCCAUAUACAAUUUUUACAGCAGUUUCCUUCUUUAAGGAUUUAGCCCUAUGCUUAGGUACAGUGUAGAUGGUCUGCCCUACACUGCUGGCAUAACUUGGCUGUAAACCUGGCUUAGCAGGCCACGUGAGGAUCACCCUCGUAAGAGGAUGAUUGUGCAGAGGCGUUGAGCCCAUAUAGGGACUCGCAUACCACACACCCUCCUCACUGAUGACAUAAAAGGAGCACACAAGUGGCUAUAGAAAAGGAGGCAUGGUCAAUAUGCCCCUCAACCUUUGCCAGUCUUGGGCUGUGGUUUUGUGUGUCCUUUCGUCAUUAAAGGCCAAAGUAAGCUAGAGCAGUUGUAAGGCUGCUCUAACACAACACAGGGGCCAUGGUGUGUGCAAAGCAGCACCAAGAUCAGAGCAAUCCAGGUGAGAGCUUCAAGUCACUUUUGCAUUCCAUGUACUGACUGUCCAGUUUGACUAUCCCGGAGGAUCUGGCUCCUCAUAAUCAGGAAAUAUUGGCCAAUGUUCACUGUUGGUCUUAGACUGUAUUUUCAUUACCCUCUUGUCCCUUGCAUGUGCAACAUAAUGCCCCUAGACAGGGGCAGUGGUGGCAACUACUGAACCCAAGACCUCUAAAUCUAAAAGCACCAACCUCAAACAUUGUAGCAGAUUCAAACCUCUGGGGACUAGCUACUAAAGGGGGACAGAGAGGCACACUGUUAGCAUAGAUUACAUGUGGCAUAGUUGGAUUUAUUAUGGAGAUGUCAGUAACUCUAUAGUUAAUACUUUUCCUAAUUCAUAUCUUUACUCACAUUACCAAUGAUGUUUUGCAUCUAAACAUACAGGACAUCAGUUAGAAAAUCUGGGUUUUAUUGACAACUCUGUCCUGACUCACUAUCCAACUUUGGGUAAAUCAUUUAACCUCCCUGUACUUCAGUUUCACAGUCUGUAAAAUGGCUGCACUUCUCUCUCUUUUUAAAGUUAUUUGAGAUCUGUGGAUGAAAAGUGCAAUAUGAAUCAAGUUAAUUGUGAUUAGAUUAGUCUUGACUACAUUCGCCCAGUUUAAAAAUAAAACUACAGGUUCCCUUCUAGUGCAAGCCUGUACUGAAGCCACUUCAACAUGCUUUGUCUGUCUCAGGUUUUUUCCCCCUAAUUUUAAAUUCUUUCAGUGGAAAAGCAAUAAAUUGAGAUUGUGUAAUCCUGUAAACCCUUCCAUUUAUCUGUUUUUCCAGAUAAGUUUUCUAGAGCUUUAUUUUAUUUUUUAUUUUUUUUCAUACAUUGCUGCUUCUCUCCCUUUUGUAAUUUUGGACCAUUCAUCCCCUUCGCCUCCCCCCUCACACUUCCCUGAUUUCCACAAGUUCCAUUCUGCUGCACACUGUUGCCUAGCAACAUGUUCUUCUCUUCUGAAAUUUCUUCUCUACCAGAGAGGAGCAGAUCAAAGACACCCACAGUUCUGACUUAUUUUAUAAAUUAAUUUAAAGAGAGACUCUCCAAUGUUGUAUUACUUUUGGGGGAGAUCAAAAGUUGGCCUAUCUGCUAGAAGUGUCAGGAAAAUUAAGUUGUGCUCUAAAAAAAAAAAAAAAAAAAAAGUGCUUUGAUUAUUAAACAUGUAAUAUUUACAUCUUUGAGUCUCUUUUUCAGAAAGUGUCAUUGUUAUGCUAGUUAGUUUCAUGCUAUCAAAUUAAAUGCAGACCUGUACCGUAAGCUAAUGUACAUUUAUGCUGCCUGUCAGAGGCAACCACAGCGUUGUUCCACCAGCCAAUAACAAUUUUUUUAAACUCCUUCCACCUGUUGCAAAAAAAAAAAAAAACAAAACAAAACAAAAAAAACCCACCACCACCAUUGGGAAAGACUAUUUCCUAAACUAUAACUACCCUAUUAUACUGACUAAGAGGAAAGCAAAUAAAUCACAAGGUAAUCACCAUGUGACAUCAGGGCUGCUGGAACCAGGGGUGCUGCAGUACCCCUUGGCUUGAAGUGGUUUCCAUCAUAAACAGGGUUUACACUUUGGUUUAAUGGCUUUCAGCACCCCCACUAUUAAAAAUUGUUCCAACACCA